rnacentral:lncRNA from 1 species
UUUAACCCUAGAUUAUCCUAGAGCAUUAAGAGUCAAAGGGAUGAAUUAUGCGGUAACCAUAUGCAUAAGUUCUUGAAUAUUGCCUUGCGAUAAUUCGACCUAUCCGGACGUCGGAAAUCAUUGCUAGAUGGUAACUUCGAUUAGUACAAAAAAUGAUUUGUGUGCUAUCAGUUUAGUAUUCGAAUCUAUGGAGUCACGCACAAAAGUCAGACGAUGUGAAAAAAAUUGACCUAAGUCUAUAUGUUCAAUUUAAAAGUACAUGACUUGAUUGAACAAGUAGAUUAACUUGAUUGACAAUUAAGUUAUGGUCAUACGGGAUUAAACAGUUUACUAUGUUUAGCUAGCACUAAACAUGAGGUUCAGAUUCAAUUCUGAGAAUGAGCAAGAUUUGGUCUUUGAUCCAAAAAAAUCUAUGAGAGAUUGGAUUUAGGUGCUAAUUAAUUUCAGAUUAAAUCUGAUUUAAUUAGACUUAAUUGGAUUUCAAGUUAGACUUGGUCCUAAAUCGUAAAUAGUUUGAAAUUGACAGUCUAUUUGAAAUUGUUUCGAAUCAGGUUCGAAUUAAAUUCGAAUUGACCCAUAUUUGGAUUAGAUCCUUAGAGUCCACUUUUACUAGGACUCUCUCUCCUCAUGGCCGAUCAAGGGGUGAUGGGGUGUUGAUUGUUGCCGCCCCACCCUUGGAUGAAGGCAUGCGUGCGUGUAGGCGCCAAUCUUUCCUCGUUUAAGACUCCUUUGAUAAGAUAUGGAUUAAUUCAAAACCUGUUUGAAUUAAGAAUCCUAGUCUUAUGGGUUAUGAAAAAUCAUCUAUAAAUAAGAAGAAUCUCUAACUAUCAAAGUAUAACAAUUAGAUUGUGUGCUAAGGAGAGAGAGAGGAAGAGGAGGCAUCAAGAUAGAUUGGACAUCACCCAUCCUUGGACUCCCACCUUCCCACGGCGUGAAGGCCCUCUUAGGCAUCCCUCUUGCUAGUGUGAGUCAUCACACUAGAGGCUCUCUCUCCUCCCUUUGGUGCCUUACGAAGGUGCUUCAAUUCGAGGCUUCAUUCCGCUUUCCUGCGAAGCUUGAUGUGCACACGAAGUAGAGGGUUUGUAGAUUCAAACCUACGCGAGACUUUGAAUUCAAAAUCUUUGAGGAUUUGAUCCCUAUUCCGCUGCGUAUCAGGUAAAGAUCUAGUUUUUAUUUAGUUAUAGAAAAUUUUUAGAUGCAAUCCUGGCAAUCCAUCGUGUUUUUGAUAGAAACAGACUUUCUUUCACCUUCAACUCGUAUCAGAACCAGACUUUGAUACAUGGAUGCAUAAUUAAUCAUUUUUGAUUUAUUUACAUAUUGUAUGUAAUUAAGAUUUUAUGUUAGACAUUAAAUCUGAUUUAGAUCUAUUUAAAUAAAAUUUAUGAUCUGAUUUUGAUUAGAUUACAAGAAUCUAAUCAAUAGUUAGUUAAGAUUGUUAUAAAGUUGUUAUAACAUAAUUUUUCUUGUUGCUGAAUUUUGUUGGAAUAAUAAUCUGAUUUAAAAUCUAUUUUAAAUCUGUUUUAACAGAAUUUUAAAGUCGUUCUUUCGGUUAUGAAAUUGAACUUAUUUCAGAUCUGAAUUGAAUCUAUUUUGACAGAUUUUUAGAUCUGAUUUUUAAUAAAAUUCUGCAUAACAUCAAAUCAGAUCUAACCAAAAAAUUAAUCUUUAUGUGUUCAUAUGUUCUUAAAUAUUGCCUUGCGAUAAUUCGACCUAAUCGGACGUCGGGAACCAUUGUUAGAUGGUAACUUCGAUUAGUACAAAAAAUGAUUUCUGUGCUACCGGCUUAGUGUUCGAACCUAUGGAGUCAUGCACAAAAGUCAGACGAUGUGGAAAAGAAUUGAUCCAAGUCUAUAUGUUCAAUUUGGAAGUAGAUGACUUGAUUGAAUAAGUAGAUUAACUUGAUUGAGAAUUAAGUUAUGAAUCAUACAGGAUUAAACAGUUUACUAUGUCUAGCUAGCAUUAAACAUAAGGUUCAAAUUCAAUUCCGAAAAUGAGCAAGAUUUGGUCUUUGAUCCAAAGGAAUCUAUGAGAGAUUGGAUUUAAGUGCUAAUUAAUUUCAGAUUAGAUUUGAUUUAAUUAGACUUAAUUGGGUUCAUAAAUCCAAGUUAGACUUGGUCCUAAAUCCUAAAUAGUUUGGAAUUGACAGCCUAUUCGAAAUUAUUUCGAAUCAAGUUCGAAUUGAAUUCGAAUUGAUCCAUAUUUGGAUUAGAUCUUUAGAGUCCAUUUUUAUUAAGACUCUCUCUCCUCAUGGCCGACCAAAAGGCGAUGGGGUGCUGGUUGUUGCCGCCCCACCCUUGGAUGAAGGCGUGCAUGCAUGUAGGCGCCAAUCCUUCCUUGUUUAAGAUUCCUUAUUUGAUAAGAUAUGGAUUAAUUCAAAAUCUGUUUGAAUUAGAAAUCCCAGUCUUAUGGGUCAUGAAAAAUUAUCUAUAAAUAAAGAAACCUCUAACCAUCAAAGUAUAACAAUUAGAUUGUGUGCUAAGGAGAGAAAGAGAGGAAGAAGUGGCGUCAAGAUAGAUUGGGCAUCACCCAUCAUUGGCCUCCCACCUUCCCACGACGUGAAGGCCCUCUUAGGCAUCCCUCUUGCUGGUGUGAGUCAUCACACUAGAGGCUCUCUCUCCUCCCUUUGGUGUCUUGUGAAGGUGCUUCAAUUCGAAGCUUCAUUCCGUUUUCUUGCGAAGCUUGGUGUGCACGCGAAGUAGAAGAUUUGUGGAUUCAAACCUACGCGAGACUUUGGAUUCAAAAUCUUUGAGGAUUUGAUCCCUAUUCCGCUGCGUAUCAGGUAAAGAUCUAGUUUUUAUUAAGUUGUUAUAGAAAUUUUUUAGAUGCAACCCUGACAAUCCAUCGUGUUUUUGAUAGAAACAAGCUUUCUUUCACCUUCAACUGGUAUCAGAGCCGAACUUUGAUGCAUGAAUACAUAAUUAAUUAUUUUUUAUUUAUUUUCAUAUUUUAUGUAAUUAAGAUUUUAUGUUAGACAUUAAAUCUGAUUUAGAUCUAUUUAAAUAAAAUUUAUGAUCUGAUUUUGAUUAGAUUACAAGAACCUAAUCCAUAGUUGGUUCAGAUUGUUAUAAAAUUGUUAUAACAAAAUUUUUCUUGUUGCUGAAUUUUAUUGAAAUAACAAUCUGAUUUAAAAUCUAUUUUAAAUCUAUUUUAACAGAAUUUUAAAGUCGUUAUUUCGGUUAUGAAGUUGAACUUAUUUCAGAUCUGAAUUGAAUUUAUUUUGACAGAUUUUCAGAUCUGAUUUUUAAUAAAAUUCUGACAACGUCAAAUCAGAUCUAACCAGAAAAUUAAUCUUUAUGUGUUCAUAUGUGCAUCUAAUUAAUUUUCUAUAAGAUUUUAGAUCUGAAUUUGAUGUUUUAUAAUCAAAUAUGUUUCAGAUCUGACAUGAUGUAUAUAAUACAUCAAAUCUGAUUAGAUUAGAUGAAGAACAUGGUUGAUGAGAUCAAAGUCAUGGUCAUGACAUAAAUUAUUUUGUCAAAUUGCAUGUUGAUGUAAUCCUAUUUGAAAUAAGAUUUCAGAUCUUAGUAGCCUAGUACUCGAAUUGAUGAGAUCAUCAGACCAUCCAGUCAUAAGAGGAAGAAGGGAUUCAUUUCAUUCUCUUGUCCAUUCGACGGGUUCUCUUAUGACGUGUAGGGGUGUCAUUGUGAUCCGAUUUCAUGAAGAAGAAAAGCGAACAGACUUUAUGAAUUGUUUUGAUCAUAAAUAUAUUUAGAUUAAAUCUAAAAUGAUUUAUGACUUAUUACAAUAAGAUAAAUUCAGAUAUAAAAUUAUUUUGAAAUCUGAAAACUAUGUUACAUUAAAUGUAAUCGAUAGUGAUCUAAACGCAGUCAUGAUACAUGUGAUGUAUGUAUGAAGUUUAGAUCACACUCAUGCAUGUUUAAUUGUUAAACACAGAUAUAAAAAUUUAUUUUCAUAUUAUGAAAUAUAUGAUAUGCUUCACUUGAAAUCCUAGUAUAAUAGUUUUACAAACUGAAACACACAUUUCACACACUUAAUUUGGAAUUAAGUUUAAACAAUCUAGAUUUGAGAAUUAAAGAUUACUAAGAUACUACAUAAAUCGAUGGGUAACGAUUUAGCAUUAAUCAGAUCCUUCUAUUGGGUUAGACCUAAAAUUAGAAACAAAUAUAGACUGAAUUGAGAAAUUGGUUAAAUCUAAUCAAGAGUUGAAUUAGAUUAAAUCAGAAUUUCUCUAGAUCAACCUUAAUAGUUGAAGCUUGAUCAAAUCCAUAUUUUUGAUAUUAAUAAAUGGACCAUGAUCAUGGCUCAGUAGUUGAGCCCGAAUCUUCUGGUGGAUCAAAUCGAAAUUAAUUAACCAAUUGGUGUCUAAGAUAAGUUUGACAGUUUUAAUCAAGUAGUUAUUAAUUGGGAGCUACUCACCUAGAUGGCGUCUAUGGCGAGUUAAUGGCAAAUCCCUCCCACUGAUCUCACUUACCUGGCAAAAAUGGUAGAUUAUGUUUUGAUUAGAUCACUAGUCGAUUUGAGCUGACCCAUGCCAUUAAGGUAAAUUAGUAUGACUGAUUCUUGUGUCUUUUGACCAGCUUGUGUCUAAUCUUCUACAUGACUUGAUGAAAUCGAUGGAAGGAUUUACGAUUUGCAAGUCAUUCUUCUCUUAUUCUCAAAUCAACAAAAUCAAAUCCUCUAAAUUAUUACAUCCUUAAAAUGAUACAGUUAUGGAGAUAACUUGUUCAUAGCCUCCCAUUAAGAUGCGUGAUAAUGAGUCCAAUAUUUCAAAUAGAUAUUAGAGACACCACAUGCCUGGUGUCUAUUGAGUAUUGAAAUAUCAUUCAUCAUAUGAUCAUCUUGUUGUGCCCUUCAGAUCAAUGCUCAGAUUGGCCGAGCCACAUUCAGAUCUGGACAUUCAUUUGUUGGAUGCGCUUGGUGUAGUCAUAUUAAUGAUUGGACCUAACCAGAAUUUUCAGUGGAUAUGCCACACGCCUGCUGAAGAGAUACCUGGAGCAAAAUCUAAUUACUAGAAAUUGUUUAGAGAAAUAAUUGGUUAUGAACCUACCCAUGGAUACACUAGGGUUGGUUGAGCCACACUCGGAUCCAAAUGCAGUCUGUGUGGAUUCUAGUACCUACUAAAGAAUUAAUAUAAUUCUUCGAAUUGAAAGUAGAGGCUAUCAAUUCGUAUAAAAUAGUAGGAGAACUUUUAGACUAACGUCCAUAUCUUUAGGAUCAAAAUAAUUCAUAUACUAAUAGGUUUAUGUUUCUUCUUUUCAGCUAUGACCAACACACUAUCGCUCCAUUCGCUGUUGGACAGCGACAAGCUUAUCGGAUCCAACUUCGAUAGUUGGUAUCGAAAAAUCGUCCUGGAGCACGAGAGGAUCCUGUACGUGCUUACGGAUCCACCACCUGAAGAACCUGUUGCCAAUACAUCCCGUGCUGUGAGAGACACUUGAAAUGGCUCAGUGACUGCACGACGAUGCGUUGUAUCAUGAGGGCAGCAAUGAAAGACGAACUUAACCAUAAGUUCGAGAAUGUGCAGCCAGAGGAUAUGAUUCAAAUAUUGAAUGAGUUCUUUGGCACCCCAAAGAAUGCGAAGAGACACAACCUCUUGUGCAGUGUUCAAUGCCCGUAUGCGAGAGGGGACGUCAGUCACUGAUCAUGUAUUGUACAUGAUCGAGCAGAUUGAACGCUUAAGCAAAUUUGGCUUUCCGUUACGUGAACAGUUAGGCAAGGAUGCUAUUCUCAAUUCGCUACCGAAAUCCUACCUACCAUUCUUGAGUCAUUAUAGAAUGACCAAACCUACAGUGAACUAUCAUGGUUUGCUUGGAUUGCUGCAGACGUUCGAGAAGGACCAUCAGCUCCAUAGUAGGAUUGCUGCAGAUGUUCGAGAAGAGCCAUCAACUCCAGAAAUAGCUAAUGCAUGUAUGGAAGAUUCGUCUGCAGGUCGUCGAUCCUCUAAGAAAAAAAAAAGGUGUAAAAGAAACGUGCCGACGAUCUCAAGUCAAAGCAAAGCAAAAAGUCAAAAGUCGACAAGAGCCAGACAAAAUACUUCUUUUGUAAGAAGCUGGGUCAUUGAAAAAGGAAUUGUCCGACUUAUAUAGCUUCUUUUGAUCCGAACAGGCCUAAAAAUAAAAGAAAUAAGCAAUCGAUUGCUUCGCAAGGUACUUAUAUGAUAACUCCUUGUAAUUUCUCUGUUUGUGAUACUACUAUUUGGAUAUCGGAUACCGAAAGUCUGAUUAAUAUUUGCAAUUUGUUGCAGAGACUGUAGGUCAAUAAAAAAUUUAGAGAAGAUGAGCGAUUUUUGAACAUUGGAAAUGGAAGCUUUGUUCCAAUUCUAGCUUUAGGAACUAUGCAGCUUGUUUUCGAGUCUAAUAGUGUUAUGUUAAAUGAGUGUCAUUAUUGUCUUUUUUGAUGAAUGUUAUCUCUGUAGGCCUUUUGGCCAAACUUGAUUUCAAAUUUUUAAUAAAAGAUGAUUUUUGUGAUAUCAUUGUGAAUGAUACAACAAUUAUGCGUGGAUAAUUAAAACAUGACAUAUAUAUAUAUAUAUAUAUAUAUAUAUAUAUANNNNNNNNNNNNNNNNNNNNAUAUAUAUAUAUAUAUAUAUAUAUAUAUAUAUAUAUAUAUAUAUAUAUAUAUAUAUAUAUAUUAUCACAGCCUGUUGGUGUAAUGUAUACAUCGAACAAACAUCCUAGGAUAGAUAAUGUCAGUGAUUCCUACCUUUGGCAUUGUAGGCUAGGUCAUGUGAACAAGAACAAGAUAGAUAGGUUAAUCAAGGAGGAUGUCCUUGAAAUUAAUUAUUGUGAAUUAUUACCGACUUGUGAAUUCUGUCUACUUGGUAAGAUGACCAAGUCACCUUUUAAGAAAAAAGGUGAACAAACCAGUGAUGUUUCAGGUCUAAUACAUAGUGAUGUAUGUGGACCCAUGAACAUAACUGCUAGAGGAGGAUACUAUUACUUCAUUACAUUUACAGAUGAUCUAUUGAGGUAUGGAUAUGUCUAUCUUAUGAAGCAUAAAUCCGAAUCAUUUGAAAUAUUCAAACGAAUUAAUAAUGAAGUAAAAAAACAGACUGAGAAGAGUAUUAAAACUCUUCGAUCAAACCGAGAAAGUGAAUACCUCACCAGUGAUUUUCUGAUAUAUCUAGAGGAGAAUGGGAUUCUGUCUCAAUAGACCCCUCCUGAAACACCACAAUAUAAUGGGAUUUCUGAAAGGAGGAAUCGAACUCUAUUAGAUAUAGUUCGAUCCAUAAUGAGAUUUGCUAAUUUGCCAAUCUCCUUUUGGAGAUACGUUUUUGAAACUGUCUGCUAUAUUCUGAAUAAGAUUCCAAGCAAAUUUGUCGAUAAAACUCCAUAUGAGAUAUGGACAAGACGUAGGCCGGUGCUCUCACACCUUCGGAUUUGGGGGUGUCCAGCUUAUGUCAAGCGUUUAAAGACAGAUAAGUUUGGACCAAAAUCCGAUAAAUGCUUGUUCGUAUAGUACCCAAAAAAAACUAAAGGGUACUACUUCUACCUUACUGAAGAAAAAAGGUAUUCAUCAGCAACAAGAUAGUCUUUUUGGAAAAGAAGUUCCUUGGAGAAGAAACUAAUGUCGGUAAAAUUAAACUUGGUGAAGUUCAUGGGGUAGAAGAAUCGGCACACAGAAUCGGAUUUGAUUGAAGAAUCGAAUUUAGAGCCUGUAGAGACACCAUUAAGAAGAUUUGAUAGAUAACCGCAUCAACCGAAUAGAUAUUACAAUUUUUUCAUCCGAGAUGGUGAUCCUAUCGAACUCGAUGAGAAUGAUGAGGAUCCGAUCACCUAUAUGGAAGCCAUGCAAAGGCCCAACUCUCAGAAGUGGCUUAAUGCCAUGAAAUUCGAAAUAGAGUCCAUGAAGAUCAAUGGUGUAUGGAUACUAAUUGAUCCACCCGAAGGGAUAAAACCUAUAGAGUGCAAGUGGAUUUUCAAGAAAAAAAACGAAUGAAAAGGUGGAGAUCUAUAAAGCUCGUCUAGUUGCUAAAAAUUACCAUCAGCGUUAUGGUAUUGACUAUGACGAGAUGUUCUCACCUGUGGCAAUGCUCAAAUCUAUCCGGAUUAUACUUGCAAUAGUAGCACACUUAGAUUAUGAGAUCUGACAAAUGAAUAUCAAAACCGCUUUCCUAAACGAAAAGUUGGAAGAAGAGAUAUAUAUGAUACAACCUGAAGGGUUCACAUCCAUAAAUGAAUCUAAGAUGUGCAAACUAAAUAGGUCCAUCUAUGGACUGAAACAGGUAUCAAAAAAAGAACAUGCAUUUUGAUAAGGUGAUCAAAGGUGAUCAAAACAUAUGGCUUCAUUAGGAACGGAGAAGAGCCUCACAUCUACAAAUGGACUAAUGAUUCUAUAAUCAUCUUUCUUGUAUUGUAUGUAGAUGACAUACUGUUAAUAGAAAAUGACAUUCCAGCUUUGCAGAGUGUGAAACUGUGGCUCUCAUCACAGUUCUCCAUGAAAGACUUGGGAGAAGCAUCCUACAUCCUAGAGAUGAAAAUCUAUAGAGAUAGAUCUAGAAGAUUGCUUGGAUUAUCUCAAUCCACGUACAUCGAUACCAUGUUGAAACGAUUCAAUAUAGAAAAUUUCAAGAAAGACUAUCUUCUGAUAGAUCAUGAAAGUACUCUCUCCAAGAAGAAUCGUCCGACAACCCCUUAGGAGAGAGCGUAUGAGUAGGAUCCCAUAUGCUUCAACAGUGAGGUCUAUCAUGUAUGCCAUGAUGUGUACGAGAUCGAAUGUGACCUAUUCACUAGGAGAAAUGAGUAGAUAUCAGUCUGAUUCGGAUAAAAAUCAUUGGAAGAUUGUGAAGACAAUCCUUAAGUAUUUAAAAAAUACUAAGGAGCAAUGACUUAUCUAUGGGGACACUGACUUGAAACUUGUGGAAUACACUAAUUUUAGUUUUCAGUCAGACCAUGAUGACAGCAGAAACGUGUCGGACUACGUAUUUACCUUAAAUAGAGGAGUAAUAUACUGAAAGAAUUUCAAGCAACAUACUGUAGCCGAUUCUGUAUGCGAAGCUGAAUACAUUGCCGCAUCUGAUACUGCAAAGGAGACGAUGUGAUUGUGGAAGUUCAUCAUCGAGCUUGAAGUUACACCCUCUAUUGAUGGUCCUGUUCUGCUGUAUUAUGACAACUCUGGAGUCAUAGCUCAAACGAAAGAAUCAAGUUACACCAGUGUACCAAGCACAUUCUACGACACUAUCAUCUUGUACGAGAGAUCGUGGAUCGAGAUGACGUCGAACUUCAAAAAAUCGACGGAAUGGAGAACAUAACCGACCCCUUCACUAAAACUCUCGGGAUCAAAGAGUUCGAUAAUCAUAAGUGAAAAAUGGGUGUAAGAUACUGCUCCGAUUGACUUUUGUUCAAGUGAAAGUUGUUAGAAAAUGUCCUAAAGCCAAUCGUUUGGACGAUUGUGCUCAUUUUAUAAUAUGUAUAUGAAUUAUUAAUCACAUGAAUAAAAAUUAUUUUGGCAUCUUUCAUCACAAAGUUACAUCUUCCUUGCUAGAACUCGUGUUGUGAUGAAGUCUUUAGAACUAUAAAGUAAUCGAUAAAAGAAGAUUUAUCAUAUAGUUCUUAAAUAUAUUCGCGACCAAAUGAUACGUCAUUAAAGGAUGAUGAUGUUUAUCAAGUGGAGGUCAUUGUGUGCCAUAUAGAUUGGUUGUCCUCUUAAUCAAACAGUGUAGAGACACUGAUAUGGCAUACAGGUGAAAUGUAAAAAUAUAUCGUCACUGAAUAAGUGACUCACCUACUGAGCGUUCUGCUAUCAAAAACAGCUCGCGAAGCAUAUGAGCAUAAAUGCCCCUCAAAUCUGAGAUCACUAUGGUGACUUGCAAACAACUCACUGUGCUUUAAUACCGGACUAUCUGCAUUUCUAAUGUAGUGACGGAAAGCUACUGGGUACAAUCAAGUACUUGCAAAGUCUGUGUGUGGAUCAAGAUGGAAUUGACCCCUCUGGAUUAUAGGAGCUAAUNNNNNNNNNNNNNNNNNNNNGUAUGAUCCUUCGGGAUUGACAGUUUAAUCCUAAACCGUCCUAGAACAUUAAGGGUCAAAGAGAUGAAUUAUGCAGUAACCAUAUGCAUAAAUUCUUGAAUAUUGCUUUGUGAUAAUUCGACAUAUCCGAACGUCGAAAAUCAUUGCUAGAUGGUAACUUCGAUUAGUACAAAAAAUAGUUUCUGUGCUACCGGCUUAGUGAUCGAACCUAUGGAGUCACACACAAAAAUCAGACAAUAUAGGAAAGAAUUGACCUAAGUCUAUAUGUUCGAUUUGGAAGUACAUGAUUUGAUUGAACAAGUAGAUUAACUUGAUUGAGAAUUAAGUUAUGGAUUAUACGGGAUGAAAUAGUUGACUAUGUCUAGCUAGCACUAGACAUGAGAUUCAAGUUCAAUUUCGGAGAUUAACAAGAUUUGGUCUUUGAUCCAUAAGAGUCUAUGAGAGAUUGAAUUUAAGUGCUAAUUAAUUUCAAAUUAAAUCUGAUUUAAUUAGACUUAAUUGGAUUCAUAAAUCUAAGUUAGACUUGAUCCUAAAUCCUAAAUAAUUUGAUAUUGACAACCUAUUCGAAAUUGUUUCGAGUCAGGUUCGAAUUGCAUUCGAAUUGACCCAUAUUUGGAUUAGAUCCUUAAAAUCCACUUUUACUGGGACUCUCUCUCCUCAGGGCCGACCAAGGGGUAAUAGGGUGUUGAUUGUUGCCGCCCCACCCUUGGGUGAAAACAUGGGUGCAUAUAGGGACCUAGUUAGGUGCCAAUCCUUCCUCAUUUAUGACUCCUUUUUUUAUAAGAUAUAGAUUAAUUCAAAACUUGUUUGAAUUAGAAAUCCUAAUCUUAUGGAUCAUGAAAAAUCAUCUAUAAAUAGGGAGGACCUCUAACUAUCAAAGCAUAACAAUUAAAUUGUGUGCUAAAAAGAGAAAGAGAGAAAGAGGCGUGAAGAUAGAUUGGACGUCACCCAUCCUUGGCGUCACCUAUCCUUGGCGUCCCACCUUCCCAUGGCGUAAAGGUCCUCUUGGAUGUCCCUCUUGCUGGUGUGAGGCGUCACACCAGAGGCUCUCUCUUCCCUUUGGUGCCUUGCGAAGGUGCUUCAAUCCAAGGCUUUCAUCCCGUUUUCUUGCGAAGCUUGGCGCGCACGCGAAAUAGAAGGUUUGUGGAUUCAGACCUACGCGAGGUUUUAGAUUCAUAAUCUUUGAAGAUUUGAUCCCUAUUCCGCUGCAUAUCAGGUAAAGAUCUGGUCUUUAUUAAGUUGUUAUAGAAAAUUUUUAGAUACAACCCUGGCAAUCCAUCGUGUUUUUUGAUAGAAACAGGCUUUCUUUCCCUACAGAUUUAUGAUGAACAAAUAAACAGAAAAUGCAUAUAGCAAGAAUGAUUUAUAAUGACACACAAUCAUAGAGUGCCAAACAAUCAUGCAGAUAGCAAUACCAAUGUCCACUUGGCAAAUAUUCAACAUCC